rnacentral:rRNA from 1 species
AGAGUUUGAUCAUGGCUCAGAUUGAACGCUGGCGGAAUGCUUUACACAUGCAAGUCGAACGGGCUUAAGGAGCUUGCUCCUUAAGUUAGUGGCGAACGGGUGAGUAAUAUAUCGGAACGUAUCCAAUAAUGGGGGAUAACUAAUCGAAAGGUUGGCUAAUACCGCAUACGCCCUACGGGGGAAAGCUAGGGACCUUCGGGCCUGGCGUUAAUGGAGCGGCCGAUAUCUGAUUAGCUAGUUGGUGGGGUAAAGGCCCACCAAGGCGACGAUCAGUAGCUGGUCUGAGAGAACGACCAGCCACACUGGAACUGAGACACGGUCCAGACUCCUACGGGAGGCAGCAGUGGGGAAUUUUGGACAAUGGGCGAAAGCCUGAUCCAGCCAUUCCGCGUGAGUGAAGAAGGCCUUCGGGUUGUAAAGCUCUUUCGCAAGGGAAGAACACUUAGUCUCUAACAUAGACUGAGGUUGACGGUACCUUGAUAAGAAGCACCGGCUAACUACGUGCCAGCAGCCGCGGUAAUACGUAGGGUGCGAGCGUUAAUCGGAAUUACUGGGCGUAAAGCGUGCGCAGGCUGUUUUGUAAGUCAGAUGUGAAAUCCCCGAGCUCAACUUGGGAACUGCGUUUGAAACUACAAGACUAGAAUAUGUCAGAGGGGGGUAGAAUUCCACGUGUAGCAGUGAAAUGCGUAGAGAUGUGGAG